CCGAGUUUACAACUCCCAAACCCAAUGUGAACGUUACCAAACUGUUGCCUCGGCGGGAUCUCUGCCCCGGGUGCGUCGCAGCCCCGGACCAAGGCGCCCGCCGGAGGACCAACCAAAACUCUUUUUGUAUACCCCCUCGCGGGUUUUUUAUAAUCUGAGCCUUCUCGGCGCCUCUCGUAGGCGUUUCGAAAAUGAAUCAAAACUUUCAACAACGGAUCUCUUGGUUCUGGCAUCGAUGAAGAACGCAGCGAAAUGCGAUAAGUAAUGUGAAUUGCAGAAUUCAGUGAAUCAUCGAAUCUUUGAACGCACAUUGCGCCCGCCAGUAUUCUGGCGGGCAUGCCUGUCCGAGCGUCAUUUCAACCCUCGAACCCCUCCGGGGGGUCGGCGUUGGGGAUCGGCCCUGCCUCUUGGCGGUGGCCGUCUCCGAAAUACAGUGGCGGUCUCGCCGCAGCCUCUCCUGCGCAGUAGUUUGCACACUCGCAUCGGGAGCGCGGCGCGUCCACAGCCGUUAAACACCCAACUUCUGAAAUGUUGACCUCGGAUCAGGUAGGAAUACCCGCUGAACUUAAGCAUAUCAA
rnacentral:rRNA from 1 species